GAUGAACGCUGGCGGCGUGCCUAAUACAUGCAAGUCGAGCGAACGGACGAGAAGCUUGCUUCUCUGAUGUUAGCGGCGGACGGGUGAGUAACACGUGGAUAACCUACCUAUAAGACUGGGAUAACUUCGGGAAACCGGAGCUAAUACCGGAUGAUAUUUUGAACCGCAUGGUUCAAAAGUGAAAGACGGUCUUGCUGUCACUUAUAGAUGGAUCCGCGCUGCAUUAGCUAGUUGGUAAGGUAACGGCUUACCAAGGCAACGAUGCAUAGCCAACCUGAGAGGGUGAUCGGCCACACUGGAACUGAGACACGGUCCAGACUCCUACGGGAGGCAGCAGUAGGGAAUCUUCCGCAAUGGGCGAAAGCCUGACGGAGCAACGCCGCGUGAGUGAUGAAGGUCUUCGGAUCGUAAAACUCUGUUAUUAGGGAAGAACAUAUGUGUAAGUAACUGUGCACAUCUUGACGGUACCUAAUCAGAAAGCCACGGCUAACUACGUG
rnacentral:rRNA from 1 species